rnacentral:misc_RNA from 1 species
AAGAUCGCCCUCAGAGGAACGUCCUGAUUUCUUGGUGACUACCCAUUCGUAUGCACUUCCUAGUUGGAAGAGGCCAGAGACCAUGGCAUUAAACUUGGUAACGGACAUGGUGUUCUCGAAUAGAAGGUAUGGCACGAUGAAUGGGAAAGAUUUAGGCGCCGGAAGUAUAUUGAGAAAUGACAUGGUGGCAGGGACGUAAGAGACGACCCAUGAUGGGAGCGUCGCCUCAGGAAUGAACAUUGUCAUUGGGAGGAUUAUGCAAAACAGAGUGAAUGAAUAAAAUGGCAAUACCAACUUCCUCAAAAGGAAGAAAAGAAAUAUCAAAUUGCCCUUCUUCCAUAUGCUUAUCUUUGAUUUAAUAAUGGCAGGUAAACAGAGACGAAACAACUGCAUUGGCCCCGAAUGCCAUCUAUGUUGUUGCUUCCUAUACGCUUCAUAUGAUUCCGGUAACUCACACUGACACUCUACAUCAUUGAGAAAGAUAAAUUUCCACCCAUGUAGAUGAGCCCUGACUGCAAUGUCCAUAUCUUCAACGGUCGUCCGCUCCAACCAACCACCAGAUUCUUCUAAUGCCUUAAUCCUCCAUACUCCAGCAGUCCCAUUAAAGCCAAAGAAAUUCAGAAAAAUACCAU